AGAGUUUGAUCCUGGCUCAGGAUGGACGCUGGCGGCGUGCCUAACACAUGCAAGUCGAGCGAUUACUUCGGUAAAGAGCGGCGGACGGGUGAGUAACGCGUGGGUAACCUGCCUCAUACACAUGGAUAACAUACCGAAAGGUAUGCUAAUACAGGAUAAUAUAAGAGAUUCACAUGGAUUUCUUAUCAAAGCUCCGGCGGUAUGAGAUGGACCCGCGUCUGAUUAGCUAGUUGGUAAGGUAAUGGCUUACCAAGGCGACGAUCAGUAGCCGACCUGAGAGGGUGAUCGGCCACAUUGGAACUGAGACACGGUACCAAACUCCUACGGGAGGCAGCAGGUGGGGAAUAUUGCACAAGUGGGACGAAAGCCUGAUGCAGCAACGCCGCGUGAGUGAUAGAAGGCCGUUCGGGUACGUAAAACUCUGUCCUCAAGGAAGAUAAUGACGGUACUUGAGGAGGAACGCCCGGCUAACUACGUGCCAGCCGCGGC
rnacentral:rRNA from 1 species